AUCGCCUCUAGGCCUUUUGGCUAAGGAUCAAGUGUAGUAUCUGUUUUUAUCAAUUUAAUAUCUGAUACGUCCCCUAUUUGGGGAACAUAUAUUAAAUGGAUUUUUGGAACAGGGAGAUGAAAGUAGAGCUUGCUCUGUCCACUCAACUCAUUGACCUGGUAUUGCAGUUCCUCCAGGAUCGGUGCACCCCUC